UACGGAGGGGGCUAGCGUUGUUCGGAAUUACUGGGCGUAAAGCGCACGUAGGCGGCUUUGUAAGUUAGAGGUGAAAGCCCGGGGCUCAACUCCGGAAUUGCCUUUAAGACUGCAUCGCUAGAAUUGUGGAGAGGUAAGUGGAAUUCCGAGUGUAGAGGUGAAAUUCGUAGAUAUUCGGAAGAACACCAGUGGCGAAGGCGACUUACUGGACACAUAUUGACGGCUGAGGUGCGAAAGCGUGGGGAGCAAACAGG
rnacentral:rRNA from 1 species